rnacentral:rRNA from 1 species
GAUGAACGCUGGCGGCGUGCCUAAUACAUGCAAGUCGAGCGAACGGACGAGAAGCUUGCUUUUCUGAUAUUAGCGGCGGACGGGUGAGUAACACGUGGAUAACCUACCUAUAAGACUGGGAUAACUUCGGGAAACCGGAGCUAAUACCGGAUAAUAUUUUGAACCGCAUGGUUCAAAAGUGAAAGACGGUCUUGCUGUAACUUAUAGAUGGAUCCGCGCUGCAUUAGCUAGUUGGUAAGGUAACGGUUUACCAAGGCAACGAUGCAUAGCCGACCCGAGAGGGUGGUUGGCCACACUGGAACUGAGACACGGUCCAGACUCCUGCGCGAGGCAGCAGUAGGGACUCUUACGCAAUGGGGGAAAGCCUGACAGAGCAACACCGCGUGAGUGCUGAAGGUCUUCGGAUCGUAAAACUCUGUUAUUAGUGAAAAACAUAUGUGUAAGUAACUGUGCACAUCUUGACGGUACCUAAUCAGAAAGCCACGGCUAAAUACGUG